AUCUCCCAUAGUGCUCCAUUGUUGAAUAUACCAACUCAUACUCGUAUUGUACUUUUCUUUAAUGUGUUAAUUUCCCAGUGAUAGAACAUGGUUGGUGAUUAAAAAAAAAAGCAUGGUUAGUUUAUAUAUAAGCAUGACCGGAAUAUAGUAUACUUUUCAGAAGCUAUCAAUUUGAGAUAGGAGAAAAAAGUUUAUAAGCAUGAGCAGAAAAACGUGUUCUCUCGUCCCAUCAUGAUUCAACAAUUGUUAUAUAUUAGUAUUGGAAUGAAAUACUAAAAAUUUCCAAAGGCUAAUUAAGUUCUACAAAAGCCGCCCUUCCCUAACCACAGAAAGGCACUGAUGUUAGAAGGACCCUCUCGCAUCUGGCCAUU